UCAUCCCCUCUCCCCAUUUUAUUUUUCCUCUCCUGCAACGCCCUCUUCCUCUUCCUCCAACUCCUCUCACCAUUAGAGAUAGACAAGGAGACACGUUGUAGGUGCGAAUUCGUUUCUAUAUUCAACAUCUUGUGUAUGUACGCAUGAGCAUGCAUGCAUACAUGAUUGUUUGUGUGUGGCAUGACAGUCGUCCGGGGAGAUUGAACUUUCCGUUGAUCAUUGAUAAAUUUCAGGUAAUACAAAUGAGUGCCAAAUAUCGUCAAAAUGUUGAUUAAUUUCCAUUUCUUCUUGUUGGUGUCACUCAAUAUGUCCAUUUUUAGCAAAGGUCAUGCCGAUGUUUUUAUUUUCCAUAUUCUAAGAUCAAAUAGUAAUCAAUAACAUUAUGUGCAAUGAUGCAGGUUUGGCGUUGAAUGAUGGAUCGUAGUUGGAUGAACUCCAUACCACGGUAUCCAGUGAUUUUGUUAAUGGUUUGAUAGAGUUCUUACAUUUUUCGGAGGACCAUGUUAGGAAAAGGAGUUUGACGAAAAUAUAUUGUCCGUUGAUACGUCUCCAACAUAUCUAUAAUUUUUUACUAUUCCAUGCUGACAUAUUAUCAUUCUAGAAUAGUUUUUGGGUAUUUAUUUACCAAUUUAUAUUAUAUUUAAGCACUAACCUAUUGACCCAGUGCCCAGUGCCAGUUGUUGUUUUCUGCAUGUUUUCACUUUUCAGGUUUACCAUACCAAACGAAGUCCAAUUCACCUGGAACUUUUUGGAGAUUUUUACUGGACCAAAUGAAGACCACUAAGAAUCGGAAGAAGGUUUGGGGCCACACGAGGGCCCCACAAGCAAACCCGACGUGUCUUAGGGGGUGCCCAGUUGGCUUGUGGGACCCUCGAGGCCCUCCCGACUCCGUUCUCUGGCUUAUCAAUUGUCAGAUAACCUAAAAAUCCCCAGAAGUGGUUUUGAAACACUUUUUACGCUGCCGCAAGUCUCUAAUCCGACGAAAGGCCAUAUGGAGCUCCGUUCUGGCAUCCUGUCAGUGGGGGAUCAAUCACAGAGGGCCUCUUCAUCAACCUUGCUGCCCUCAUGAUGAUGUGUGAGUAGUCCACAACAGACUUACGGGUCCAUAGCUAGUACCUAGAUGACAAUCUCUCUCUCUUGAUCUUCGAUACAAUGAACAUCCUAUCUUCACUUUAAU
rnacentral:lncRNA from 1 species